CCAACUCACUUGGUCUAACACCACAACAUAUAUACCCCCAUAAAACUUAGAAUUAAGUCAACAAACCAUUUUUCCACCUUAGUACGGGCGACCGAAAAGGAAAUAAUUGAGCAACAGAAAAAGUACCGCAAGGGAAAGCUGAAAGAGAAUUGAAAUAACCCAUUUAAGCCCAGAGAAGCAGAGAUUAAAUCUC
rnacentral:rRNA from 1 species